UGUCAGCCUGCUUGGAUCACCUCAUCGAGCAAGUGCUUACUUCAGUCGGCCUGUUUUCACAGCCACUGCAUUCUACUUGUGUGCAAAAAGACACAAGCUUAAAGUAGACAAGAUUAAGCUUAUUGAGCUCUAUGGCACAUCAGAAUCUGAAUUUACUAGUGUAAGACAUGCUCCUGUUAGCAUUUUCUUUAUUUCUACUUUGUAGCAUUUUUUUUUAUU